rnacentral:rRNA from 1 species
UGCCGGCGACCGGCGGACGGGUGCGUAACGCGUAUGUAACCUACCUUUGACAGGGGGAUAACAUCGAGAAAUUGGUACUAAUACCCCAUAACAUCACCGGAGGCAUCUUCGGUGGUUGAAAACUCAGGUGGUCAGAGAUGGACAUGCGUUGUAUUAGCUAGUUGGUGAGGUAACGGCUCACCAAGGCGACGAUACAUAGGGGAACUGAGAGGUCAACCCCCCACAUUGGUACUGAGACACGGACCAAACUCCUACGGGAGGCAGCAG